CGNCAUUACAAGCGAAACUGCGAAUGGCUCAUUAUAUAAGUUAUCGUUUAUUUGAUAGUACCUUACUACAUGGAUAACCGUGGUAAUUCUAGAGCUAAUACAUGCUGAAAAUCCCGACUUCGGAAGGGAUGUAUUUAUUAGAUUCAAAACCAAUGCCCUUCGGGGCUCCAAUGGUGAUUCAUGAUAACUUCUCGAAUCGCACGGCCCCGCGCCGGCGAUGGUUCAUUCAAAUUUCUUCCCUAUCAACUUUCGAUGCUACGGUAGUGUCCUAGCAUGGUUGCAACGGGUAACGGGGNAU
rnacentral:rRNA from 1 species